GAAAGUUCCCUUCGGGGAGCGAGUAAAGCGGCGGACGGGUGAGUAACACGUGGGCAACCUGCCCCUGGGAUCGGGAUAACGUGCCGAAAGGUGCGCUAAUACCGGAUAAGACCACACGGACUAAUGUCCGAGCGGUAAAAGAUGGUCUCUGCUUGCAAACUAUUACCUGGGGAUGGGCCCGCGGCCUAUUAGCUAGUUGGUAGGGUAACGGCCUACCAAGGCGAUGAUGGGUAGCCGGCCUGAGAGGGUGUACGGCCACACGGGGACUGGGACACGGCCCCGAGUCCUACGGGAGGCAGCAGUGGAUCUGAAGAAAAACUCGAG
rnacentral:sRNA from 1 species